rnacentral:rRNA from 1 species
UACGGAGGGUGCAAGCGUUAUCCGGAUUCACUGGGUUUAAAGGGUGCGUAGGUGGGUCGGUAAGUCAGUGGUGAAAUCUCCGAGCUUAACUCGGAAAGGUCAACUGAUACUGUGCGACUAGAGUGCAGAAGGGGCAACUGGAAUUCUCGGUGUAGCGGUGAAAUGCGUAGAUAUCGAGAGGAACACCUGCGGCGAAGGCGGGUUGCUGGGCUGACACUGACGCUGAUGCGCGAAAGCCAGGGGAGCGAACGGG